rnacentral:rRNA from 1 species
GGGGGGGGGGGGGGGGGGGGGGGAGGGGGGCAGGGCGGGCGGAGGGGGGGGGCGUGCUGCUGGAGUCAGCGGGGGACGGGUGAGUGAGGCGUAGGAAUCUGCGUGGUAGUGGGGGAGAACGUCCGGAAACGGGCGCUAGUGGCGCAUACGUGCUGCGGGAGGAAGUGGGGGCUCUUCGGACCUCACGCUAUCAGAUGAGCCUAAGUCGGAUUAGCUAGUUGGUGGGGUAAAGGCCUCCCAAGGCGACGAUCCGUAACUGGUCUGAGAGGAUGAUCAGUCACACUGGAACUGAGACACGGUCCAGACUCCUACGGGAGGCAGCAGUGGGGAAUAUUGGACAAUGGGCGAAAGCCUGAUCCAGCCAUGCCGCGUGUGUGAAGAAGGUCUUCGGAUUGUAAAGCACUUUAAGUUGGGAGGAAGGGCAGUAAGUUAAUACCUUGCUGUUUUGACGUUACCAACAGAAUAAGCACCGGCUAACUUCGUG